AAUUAGGGUUCGAUUCCGGAGAGGGAGCCUGAGAAACGGCUACCACAUCCAAGGAAGGCAGCAGGCGCGCAAAUUACCCAAUCCCGAUACGGGGAGGUAGUGACAAUAAAUAACAAUACAGGGCUCUUAUGGGUCUUGUAACUGGAAUGAGUACAAUUUAAAUCCCUUAACGAGGAACAGUUGGAGGGCAAGUCUGGUGCCAGCAGCCGCGGUAAUUCCAGCUCCAAUAGCGUAUAUUAAAGUUGUUGCAGUUAAAAAGCUCGUAGUUGAAUUUCGGGGUUCUACCGUUGGUCGGGCAAUUGUCUGUACUGGCGUGUAGAAUUUCUACCUUCUGGGGAACCAUUAUGUUAUUAAUUUAGCGUGGUGGGAAACCAGGACCUUUACCUUGAAAAAAUUAGAGUGUUCAAAGCAGGCUUACGUCUGAAUACAUUAGCAUGGAAUAAUAAAAUAGGACGGUGGUCCUGUUUUGUUGGUUUCUGAAUCACCGUAAUGAUUAAUAGGGAUAGUUGGGGGCAUUAGUAUUCAAUUGUCAGAGGUGAAAUUCUUGGAUUUAUUGAAGACUAACUUCUGCGAAAGCAUUUGCCAAGGAUGUUUUCAUUAAUCAAGGACGAAAGUUAGGGGAUCGAAGACGAUCAGGUACCGUCGUAGUCUUAACCAUAAACUAUGCCGACUAGGGAUCGGACGAUGUUA
rnacentral:rRNA from 1 species